rnacentral:rRNA from 1 species
UACGGGGGGGUGCGAGCGUUUGUCCGGAAUCACUGGGCGUAAAGGGCGCGUAGGUGGCGUGAUAAGGGUGUGGUGAAAGCCCGGGGCUCAACCCCGGGUCUGCCAUGCCGACUGUCAGGCUCGAGUGCUGUAGGGGCAGGCGGAAUUCCGGGUGUAGCGGUGGAAUGCGUAGAUAUCGGAAGGAACAUCAGUGGCGAAAGCGGCUUCCUGGACCAGUACCGACGUUCAGGCACGAAAGCGUGGGGAGCAAACAGG